rnacentral:miRNA from 2 species
AGCAGAAGCAGGGAGGUUCUCCCA